rnacentral:lncRNA from 1 species
CAAGGCAGUCCAGUCCUCCAGCGUGGCUGGGGCUGCAUUGCCAGUAAAUAUAUUAACCUACCCAGGGCCGCAGCACAUGGCCCAGGCACCUGGUUCUCCUGGCUUCCAUCGCAGGCAGCCGGGGCAAAGUGCUCAGAAGGGACGAACUGUGGGAAGGAGGUGGGUCAGCUCGGAGGAGGAAGAGGCAGGGGCACCACCAGGACAGAGGAGAGAAGAGUGGCUGGAAGGGGACCUGGUGUUCUGCACCCUGCUGUCACCUCUGUGCUCCUGGGAGCCUGCAAAAGAAGCCCGGCUUGGAGGAAGGGUGAAAAGCAAUGGAGAAGGGGGUGAUACAGAUGGAGCAAUGGAUGGACAGUUGGAUAGGUGGAUGGAUGGAUGAAUGGAUGGAUGGAUGAUGGAGGAUACAUCAACCCAUCAAUCAAUGGAUGAGUCAAUGGAGACUUCAUUUUACUCCUUGAAGAUGGAGAAACUACAGCCAAGAAAGAGGGAAGAAGAUGAUGUGAAUUCAUCAGUAAGUUCAGACUCAGCCUCAGAAAUCCGGUGGAUGGUGCACUCCAGCCAUGAGCUCCACUCAGGGGGACUUUGGCCAUGCGGAGAUGCUCCCCUGGGUGUCUCCUCUCCCCUUCUUUUCUCCCUGGACCAUGUUCUAAGCCACAUAACUCACUAUAUUGUUCAAAUGGAAUCUCUUGCUGGGUGCAAACCAAGAAAUGGCUUCUAGAGAGGUCCUUUCUUCCGUGGUUUAGCUAUUACUACAGUUUGGAUCGU